rnacentral:lncRNA from 1 species
GAACCCCUUAUCCCUCUUUUGCAGAAACCCUAGCGUCAAAAUCUCUCAGCCAAUCUCUCAGCCAAUUCCUUCUUCUUCCCUUCAAUGCACAGCGAUCUACAAGAUGAUAAAGGCGUUUGGUUUAUGAUGUGCUUUUGAAGCAGGCAACUUUAGUUAAAGAUCAAGUUAUUGAGGUUAAACUAGAUAUUAUGCUUCUUUAAAUAGUUGGGUUAUUGGGUGAAUCUUUUGGUCUUUUGACAGAAGUGAAGAAGUUUGUUCAGAGUAUGCCAAGACACUCUAUUUAGAUGAUGUUGCUUCAGUUGCACUCAUUCCAACUCCAGUUUCAGUUUCAACAAAUCCAAAGUGGCUACUGAACUCGCAUUAAAAUACAUUACACUUAGACCUUUCAGUUGGGAUCAAGAUACUGACAAAGUCAAUGUGAGGGUGUAUUUUUGUGUUAAUUGUCUACCAGUUGUAAGUUUAUAACUAUAUAUUAUUUAUUCUUGCUAGCUUUUAAAUGGAAGGAAAAUUUAUUUACCAGGUACACUUUCUUUUUGUAUCUAGAAGGACCAUUUUCAUUCUUCAUCGUUUUAUGCCUUUUAAUGGGUGAAUGCUUUUGUUACCCACUUAAUUGUGAGUUGGUUGAUUUUGGGUUACCCUUUACCUUUUUAAUCUCUGUCGGGUCAAAUAAAAAACCUAGAUAUGAAGUAAACAGGUCAAAUGGAUUGAAAAUCACCUAAAAUAUAUUAAAGCAUGCAAUCUCUAUCUAUUAGUUUACUUAGAAGGUGAAUAUAGACAUGUUUUGGUAGCCUUCCCACCAGCUAAUGUCAAGUGUAGUUCUUAUUUUCAAGAAAUUAACCGGUGAAUGCUGAGUUUUGAAUAUUAUUUUAUUUUCAUUGUAGUUUGAAUUGACUAUUCAUGCAAUAAAGGUCGUGUUUUUUGUUGCUUACAGGGUAAUACCAACGGUUCUAGGAACAAAACCAGAAUUACUCUGACAAUUUAUGUGUUCUUUUGAACGAAGAUAGAAUCUUGAUUAUAAAAAAGAACUCCAAAUCUAAUGAAUCUGUUUGGUUUCUUGAGGUAAUAGUAUUCACAUUUAUUGAUCUUGAAAUGAUAGCGUUCGUUAGGUUUUAUUAGGUGGACACACAAUUUAGACGAGACCAAAAAAGUUUGAAACAAAAGUUGUUGCUUGGAGUGAGGGGUUAUUGGUAAUGCUGAGCGGCCCAUAGUAAUUAGUAGCCCGUGUAUGUCGGGUUUGUAAUAUGUCAAAAACGUUUUGUCAAGUGAUGGUUUGAUUUGAAUUCACUAAAUUUUAUGGUUUGCAAGUAUAUCAUGAAGAUAUGAAGAUGUUUUGAUGAUGAUACCAAGUUUAAACCACUAUAACUAAAUGAAAUUGUUCUGACUUAUUUAGAGAUGUAUGAACAAUUUAUAUAUUUUGUUUAAAAAUUAUGUGUAUUUAAUUUUCAACUUAUUUAAGUUAAUAUAUUUUAUUUCACUUGAUUA